rnacentral:rRNA from 1 species
AUGAACGCUAGCGGCAGGCCUAAUACAUGCAAGUCGAGGGGUACAUUUGUUUUCGGACGAAUGGAGACCGGCGGACGGGUGCGUAACGCGUAUGCAACCUACCCUUAUCAGGGGGAUAGCCCGGGGAAAUCCGGAUUAAUACCGCAUAAUUUCUUUAUUUGGCAUCAAUUAAGGAUUAAACAUUUAUGGGAUAAGGAUGGGCAUGCGUGCCAUUAGCUUGUUGGUGGGGUAACGGCUCACCAAGGCAACGAUGGCUAGGGGAUCUGAGAGGAUGACCCCCCACACUGGUACUGAGACACGGACCAGACUCCUACGGGAGGCAGCAGUAAGGAAUAUUGGUCAAUGGAGGCAACUCUGAACCAGCCAUGCCGCGUGCAGGAAGACGGCCUUCUGGGUUGUAAACUGCUUUUAUACGGGAAUAACCGUACGUUUUCUAACGUAUCUGCAAGUACCGUAAGAAUAAGGAUCGGCUAACUCCGUGCCAGCAGCCGCGGUAAUACGGAGGAUCCGAGCGUUAUCUGGAUUUAUUGGGUUUAAAGGGUGCGUAGGCGGUCUUUUAAGUCAGGGGUGAAAGACGGUGGCUCAACCAUCGCAGUGCCUUUGAUACUGAUAGGCUUGAAUGAACUAGAGGUAGGCGGAAUGUGACAAGUAGCGGUGAAAUGCAUAGAUAUGUCACAGAACACCGAUUGCGGAGGCAGCUUACUAUGGUUAAAUUGACGCUGAUGCACGAAAGCGUGGGGAUCGAACAGGAUUAGAUACCCUGGUAGUCCACGCCCUAAACGAUGAACACUCGCUGUUGGCGAUAUAAUGUCAGCGGCAAAGCGAAAGCAUUAAGUGUUCCACCUGGGGAGUACGCCCGCAAGGGUGAAACUCAAAGGAAUUGACGGGGGCCCGCACAAGCGGAGGAGCAUGUGGUUUAAUUCGAUGAUACGCGAGGAACCUUACCCGGGCUUGAAAGUUAGUGAAUCGGCCAGAGAUGGUUGAGUCUUUCGUGACACGAAACUAGGUGCUGCAUGGCUGUCGUCAGCUCGUGCCGUGAGGUGUUGGGUUAAGUCCCGCAACGAGCGCAACCCCUAUGUUCAGUUGCCAGCAUAUUAAGGUGGGGACUCUGAACAGACUGCCUGUGCAAACAGCGAGGAAGGAGGGGACGACGUCAAGUCAUCAUGGCCCUUACGUCCGGGGCUACACACGUGCUACAAUGGGCGGUACAGAGGGCAGCUACACAGCGAUGUGAUGCCAAUCUCACAAAUCCGUUCACAGUUCGGAUCGGGGUCUGCAACUCGACCCCGUGAAGUUGGAUUCGCUAGUAAUCGCGUAUCAGCAAUGACGCGGUGAAUACGUUCCCGGGCCUUGUACACACCGCCCGUCAAGCCAUGGGAGCUGGGGGUACCUGAAGCC